CAGCACCUCAAGUGGUCAGGAUGAUUAUUGGGCCUAAAGCAUCCGUAGCCGGCGCUGUAAGUUUUCGGUUAAAUCUGUACGCUCAACGUACAGACUGCCGGGAAUACUGCAGCGCUAGGGAGUGGGAGAGGUAGACGGUACUCGGUAGGAAGGGGUAAAAUCCUUUGAUCUAUUGAUGACCACCUGUGGCCAAGGCGGUCUACCAGAACACGUCCGACGGUGAGGGAUGAAAGCUGGGGGAGCAAACCGGAUUAGAUACCCGAGUAGUCC
rnacentral:rRNA from 1 species